UACGUAGGGGGCGAGCGUUGUCCGAAGUUACUGGGCGUAAAGCGCGUGUAGGCGGGUCUUUAAGUGAGGGGUGAAAGGUUUGGGCUUAACCCAGACACUGCCUUUCAUACUGGAGACCUUGAGUGCGGGAGAGGCGAGUGGAAUGGUCGGUGUAGCGGUGAAAUGCGUAGAUAUCGAUCGGAACACCCAUGGCGAAGGCAGCUCGCUGGCCUGUAACUGACGCUGAGACGCGAAAGCGUGGGGAGCAAACAG
rnacentral:rRNA from 1 species